rnacentral:rRNA from 1 species
GAUCCUGGCUCAGGACGAACGCUGGCGGCGUGCUUAACACAUGCAAGUCGAACGAAGAACGAUGGAAGCUUGCUUCUAUCAAUCUUAGUGGCGAACGGGUGAGUAACGCGUAAUCAACCUGCCCUUCAGAGGGGGACAACAGUUGGAAACGACUGCUAAUACCGCAUACGAUCUAAUCUCGGCAUCGAGGAAAGAUGAAAGGUGGCCUCUAUUUAUAAGCUAUCACUGAAGGAGGGGAUUG